rnacentral:rRNA from 1 species
UACGUAGGGGGCAAGCGUUGUCCGGAUUCAUUGGGCGUAAAGAGCGUGUAGGCGGCCAGGUAGGUCGGUUGUGAAAACUGGAGGCUCAACCUUCAGAGGUCGACCGAAACCAUCUGGCUAGAGUCCGGGAGAGGAGAGUGGAAUUCCUGGUGUAGCGGUGAAAUGCGCAGAUAUCAGGAAGAACACCGGUGGCGAAGGCGGGUCUCUGGGCCGAUACUGACGCUGAGGAGCGAAAGCGUGGGGAGCGAACAGG